rnacentral:rRNA from 1 species
UACGUAGGGCGCAAGCGUUGUCCGGAAUUAUUGGGCGUAAAGAGCUCGUAGGCGGUCUGUCGCGUCUGCCGUGAAAACCCGAGGCUUAACCUCGGGCUGGCGGUGGAUACGGGCAGACUAGAGGUAGGUAGGGGAGAAUGGAAUUCCCGGUGUAGCGGUGAAAUGCGCAGAUAUCGGGAGGAACACCGGUGGCGAAGGCGGUUCUCUGGGCCGUAACUGACGCUGAGGAGCGAAAGCGUGGGGAGCGAACAGG